rnacentral:rRNA from 1 species
UGGCGGACGGGUGAGUAACGCGUAGGAAUCUAUCUUUGGGUGGGGGACAACCGUGGGAAACUACGGCUAAUACCGCAUGAGGCCUGAGGGCCAAAGCUUGUGAGAGCGCCUGAGGAGGAGCCUGCGUCCGAUUAGCUAGUUGGUGGGGUAAAGGCCUACCAAGGCUGCGAUCGGUAGCUGGUCUGAGAGGACGAUCAGCCACACUGGGACUGAGACACGGCCCAG